AAAAAGACAAACCCUGAGUUUUCGUGUCCAACUUUGACUGUCUGUCUUAUAUGAAUUUUGUUUAUAAUUCGUAUUUUCAUUGUUGUUAGAUGAUAAAACAUAAUUAAUAUUUUACGUGUGACUUAUCUUUUUAAUUUUUUUCAUAUUUUUUUAAAUAAGACGGACGGUUAAACGUUAAGCACGGAAAUCAGGGUU
rfam:Oryza rufipogon genomic scaffold, chr03